rnacentral:rRNA from 1 species
CCCUUAGAUGUUCUGGGCCGCACGCGCGCUACACUGAUGCAUUCAACAAGUUCUACCUUGGCCGAGAGGCCUGGGAAAUCUUUCAAAUAUGUAUCGUGAUAGGGAUAGAUUAUUGCAAUUAUUAAUCUUGAACGAGGAAUUCCUAGUAAAUGCAGAUCAUCAUUCUGCGUUGAUUACGUCCCUGCCCUUUGUACACACCGCCCGUCGCACCUACCGAUUGAAUGAUCCGGUGAAGCCUCGGGAUUGUGCCCAGAGAACUUUAUUGUGAUUUGGGUGUGAGAACUUGUCUAAACCUUAUCAUUUAGAGGAAGGUGGAGUCGUAACA